CAUUGUUGUUGCGGUUGCGCGGCGUAAAGGAAUAAAUGAAAAGGUUUACGUGGAAGUUUUCAUGGUUUCAGUAACCACCACACCAAUAAAGUUUUACCUUUUACUUUCUGGCAGCACACAAAUUUGAACACUUUCUACUAUUUACAGUUAUCUAACAUAUCCCGAACACUUUUACAUGCGGUGAGCAGUUGGUGAACAAAUUCGGGAAAGCGAGGAGGGCUAUUCUAAAAACAGCAAAGGUUACAUAAAAUGUCAUCAUUAACUGAAUAUCUUACGCCAAACCAAUGAGGUAGGA